GGAUCUUCAAUAUGUCACCCCUCUUAGUUAGACUCCACUUUCUCCACUUACAAAUUUGCAGACAAGUACUGAGCAGACCAUUGAGGACUUAAUUAAUGGGGUGGAUCAUGACUUGACCAACAUUAUCCAGAUUGGCUGAGUUGAAGCCAAAACCUUGCUUACAAUCUGCAGCAUCAGCAUGUGGUGUCAGUGCCACAGCAAUAUGGUAAGUGCUCGAGUUAGUGACAAUGUAAGAAGAAUCUGAUGACACGGUGUAGGUUGUGUUCUGCCUCUUCAACGAUGAGAUUGGGUGAGCAGUGAAGUUUUUAAGAACAUGUAGUCGAUUCUGUGGGGGGAAAUGGAGGGGCCGGGGAACGUUUCCCAGCAGUUGAUAACUGUUGUUUACCUUUAGGAUACGAUAGAUGGAUGGAGGAUGUGAAGGAUGGAGAACGAGUGGCUGGUGCAGAAACCCAAUCCAAGUGCUGUUUAAAGCAUAUGACAACCCACAUCGGAUUCCAUGCUCCGAGAUAAAAUGUGCUAGAGUUGGAGGAGGACCAUCUUGUACAUGUACAAUGGGGGAAAGCUACGAAGCAAAACGCUGCAGUAGACGUCGAUGACCACCACCACCACCAUGUCUUACAGUAGUAGAUAAAGGUUGAACAUCCCAAAGGCAGCAGGUACCGUUGUAUCCUCGAACGCCACUUACAAAGGCUCGCCCAGGAUACUCUAUAGGCACAGUCGACAAUAUGUUAUAGGAAAAGCAGCUCGAUUUGGGGUCUCCCAGCUUCUGUGAAGCCUUGCCUGCGCCCCUUCGCCGGAGAUCGAUCGAUGGCGCAGCUUGUUCACGACUUGAGGAGUUCUUGUCAGCAGAUUAGGAGGAGGAGGAGGAGGAGGACAGGAACUCAGAGGUCGGGUUAUGAGCUCAAGAAGGGAGAUGAGAGAUGCAAGCCCAAGUGGAAGAAAAACUAAGGGGGAGAUUGUGACUCACUCUAUAGGCAAGUCUAAUGCUUGGCUUUGGGGAGGGAGCAGUUGAUCCUUUUCCCCUCUUGUUUCUGUUUUCUGUAUUCUCUUCAUCAAAUGACUUCCCUGCUUGGAAUUAUUUGUCUUUGACAAUGUGGUCUUCUUCAAAUUUCCUAGUGUGUGUGUGUUGUGCUCAUCUUUCCUUGUUUUUUCCUGGGAAGAAGUAUUCUAAAGCAACUGCUUUUGUUGAGAUGUAAUGGCAUAUCUGAUGGAUGGAAGAUGGAUCAUCAAAUAAAGAGACUUCAUGACA